rnacentral:hammerhead_ribozyme from 1 species
GCACCGCUGAAGAGUCUCACAAUAGAACGAAACGGCCGUCUAGUGC